rnacentral:rRNA from 1 species
UACGUAGGGACCAAGCGUUGUUCGGAAUUACUGGGCGUAAAGGGCUCGUAGGUGGCCAACUAAGUCAGACGUGAAAUCCCUCGGCUUAACCGGGAAACUGCGUCUGAUACUGGAUGGCUUGAGUUUGGGAGAGGGAUGCGGAAUUCCAGGUGUAGCGGUGAAAUGCGUAGAUAUCUGGAGGAACACCGGUGGCGAAGGCGGCAUCCUGGACCAACACUGACACUGAGGAGCGAAAGCCAGGGGAGCAAACGGG